rnacentral:rRNA from 1 species
AGUGAACGCUGGCGGUAGGCCUAACACAUGCAAGUCGAACGGAAGCACAGUAAGCGCUCGCCCUUACGGGUGGCGAGUGGCGGACGGGUGAGGAAUACAUCGCAAUCUACUAUUUCGUGGGGGAUAACGGAGGGAAACAUACGCUAAUACCGCAUACGAUCAACGGGUGAAAGCAGUAGAUCUUCGGACCUUGCGCGACUGAAUGAGACGAUGCCGGAUUAGCUAGUUGGCGGGGUAAGGGCACACCAAGGCGACGAUACGUAGCUGGUCUGAGAGGAUGAUCAGCCACACUGGAACUGAGACACGGUCCAGACUCCUACGGGAGGCAGCAGUAGGGAAUCUUGGACAAUGGGCGCAAGCCUGAUCCAGCCAUGCCGCGUGGGUGAUGAAGGCCUUCGGAUUGUAAAGCCCUUUUAUUGGGAAAGAAAAGCAGCAGAUGUAUCUCCGGCUGUUCUGACGGUACCUAAAGAAUAAGCACCGGCUAACUUCGUG